ACAGUUUAGUGACCCAUGAUGGAGCCUACUGAGACACUGUACUCACUUCAGAGCCUGCAGACAGGAACCUGGAAAACUGGCAGAAGCUGGCAAAGGUGCACACCGACUCCAGGACUGCUUCCCCUCCCAGCAGCCAACAUCUGCAUCCUUUUAGGGCAUGCUGCCCUUGGCCUGCCGGAAUUGUUAUGCCUCAAAUGGAGAAAUCCAGAAGUGCCUAUAAAUUCUUUCAUUUACCCAAAGCAAUGACCAAUGAAUGCAGAAGUAUAAACACUCCA